AUCGCUUCUCGGCUUUUUUGCUAAGACCAAGUGUACUAUCUGUCCCUAACCUCCAACCUUUCUCCGACAAAAAUAAGGAAGUCCUAUUCCAUAAUCAAAAUCAUAAUAAUUUUGUUAUUUAUACCCCGUCCAUCGGACUGGGUUUCCCCAGCCACGCUGGAUGGCUC